rnacentral:pre_miRNA from 1 species
AAUGGAAGAAUGAAAAAUAAGAUUUUUUUUUCUCUUGAUUUUUAGCUUUUUUCUGCUGAAAAAAAUCAAAUCCAACUAAAAAUGCUAAAAGUUAAGAGAAAAAAUCUGAUUUGUCAUUCUUUUAUU